GAUGAAGAACGUAGUGAAAUGCGAUAAGUAAUGCGAAUUGCAGAAUUCCGUGAGUCAUCGAAUCUUUGAACGCACAUUGCGCCCUCUGGUAUUCCGGAGGGCAUGCCUGUCUGAGCGUCAUUGUCAACCCUCAAGCUCGGCUUGCUGUUGGGUCCCCGUCGUUGCUUUAACGGCGGACCCGAAAGGUAAUGGCAGAGUCCGUGAGACCCUAGACGCAGCGAGCUUCUAGCACGCGUCUGGACGUUUUUCGGGCUCGGUCUUAACUAGAUGAUAACUUCCGAUUGACCUCAGAUCAGGUAGGGAUACCCGCUGAACUUAAGCAUAUCAAAAGCGGAGGA
rnacentral:misc_RNA from 1 species